AUUGAACGCUGGCGGCAUGCUUUACACAUGCAAGUCGAACGGCAGCACGGGCUUCGGCCUGGUGGCGAGUGGCGAACGGGUGAGUAAUAUAUCGGAACGUACCCAAGAGUGGGGGAUAACGUAGCGAAAGUUACGCUAAUACCGCAUACGAUCUAUGGAUGAAAGCGGGGGAUCGCAAGACCUCGUGCUCCUGGAGCGGCCGAUAUCUGAUUAGCUAGUUGGUGAGGUAAAGGCUCACCAAGGCGACGAUCAGUAGCUGGUCUGAGAGGACGACCAGCCAAACUGGAACUGAGACACGGUCCAGACUCCUACGGGGGGCAGCAGUGGGGAAUUUUGGACAAUGGGCGCAAGCCUGAUCCAGCAAUGCCGCGUGAGUGAAGAAGGCCUUCGGGUUGUAAAGCUCUUUUGUCAGGGAAGAAACGGUAGGGGCUAAUAUCCCUUGCUAAUGACGGUACCUGAAGAAUAAGCACCGGCUAACUACGUGCCAGCAGCCGCAGUAACAC
rnacentral:rRNA from 1 species